UACGGAGGAUCCAAGCGUUAUCCGGAUUCAUUGGGUUUAAAGGGUGCGUAGGCGGAAUGAUAAGUCAGUGGUGAAAUCCUUCAGCUUAACUGGAGAACUGCCAUUGAUACUGUCAAUCUUGAGUACAUUUGAUGUGGGCGGAAUGUGUCAUGUAGCGGUGAAAUGCUUAGAUAUGACACAGAACACCGAUUGCGAAGGCAGCUCACAAAACUGUAACUGACGCGAGGCACGAAGCGUGGGUAUCAAACAGG
rnacentral:rRNA from 1 species